GCAUAAUAAGAGUAAAGAAGAAAUGGAGGCAACAGUAGUAAUGUUUAUUAAAAAUAUGCUCUCAAAGGAUUCCUCUCUGUGAGUGGUUAUGUAGGCAAGGUUCCAGUGCACUGCUUUAGAACGGGGACCCAGCACGCACGAUCUGCAGCUUCUCUCUCAAACGCUUGUGAGCCAAUUCUGCAUUUCAUGUGAAGUGCCGCCAUGGUAACCUGUGGCCACGCUCUGAUGGCCAGGGACUUACGAGAGUGGAG